rnacentral:rRNA from 1 species
AGCAACGGGAAUGAAAUAAUUUAGUAUACCCUUUACCUCCAAUUGCAAUGAAAAAAAUUGGAGGUAAAGGAGUAUUUUCUAUGUAAACUUAAAAUUUGUUUUGAAAAUUCUUUAUGUUAAGAAAUUAAUAAUGUUUAUUUUAACAGAAGACAGAUUUAUUUUUUUUUAAAAAAAUUGUAGAUUUUCAUUUAGUUCUGGCGAAGCCUGUGCCAGCCGCCGCGGUUAUGCAGGCAGGGCAUGAUUUUUUUUUAAUAAAAAUAUUAUUGAUUUAAUAGUUUAGUUUUAAUUAGGUGAAAUUAGUAAUUGUUAUUGAUUUAUUAAAAUUUAUGAAAUUUAUGGAAAAAAAUAGGAUUAGAUACCCUAUUAUUAUAAAAUGAUGGGUUGUGAGUAUCUUGUUUUUUGAUAAAACUAAUUGAAAUGGCGGUAUUUUAAGCUUUUUAGAGGAAUUUAUUCUUUAAUUGAUGCAACACAAAUAUCUUACUUAAUUUGGUUAGGUCAGCUUGUAUAUCGCUAUCAUGUUAUUAUGUUGUUUGAUUAUUAUAAAGGUAGUUGUUAACUGAAAUGUUAGGUCAAAAUGCAGCAAAAGAUUAAGGUUGAAAUAAAUUACAUGAAUUUUUAUUGACUUUCUUUGAAAAGAAUUUUUGGAUUUAAUAGUAAACUUAUAUUAUAAUGAUAAGUUGAAUUGAGCUCUAAAAUAUGUACAUAUCGCCCGUCGCUCUCAAUAGUGAGAUAAGUCGUAACAAAGUAAAUGUACCGGAAGGUGCUUUU